rnacentral:rRNA from 1 species
AUUGAACGCUGGCGGCAUGCCUUACACAUGCAAGUCGAACGGUAACGGGCCUUCGGGUGCUGACGAGUGGCGAACGGGUGAGUAAUGUAUCGGAACGUACCUUUCAGUGGGGGAUAACGUAGCGAAAGUUACGCUAAUACCGCAUAUUCUGUGAGCAGGAAAGCAGGGGAUCGCAAGACCUUGCGCUGAUUGAGCGGCCGAUAUCAGAUUAGCUAGUUGGUGAGGUAAAGGCUCACCAAGGCGACGAUCUGUAGCGGGUCUGAGAGGAUGAUCCGCCACACUGGAACUGGGACACGGUCCAGACUCCUACGGGAGGCAGCAGUGGGGAAUUUUGGACAAUGGGGGCAACCCUGAUCCAGCCAUGCCGCGUGAGUGAAGAAGGCCUUCGGGUUGUAAGGCUCUUUCGGCCGGGAAGAAAUCGUAUCAGCUAAUACCUGGUGCGGAUGACGGUACCGGCAUAAGAAGCACCGGCUAACUACGUGCCAGCAGCCGCGGUAAAAC